rnacentral:rRNA from 1 species
UACGGAAGGGGCAAGCGUUGUUCGGAAUCAUUGGGCGUAAAGGGCGCGUAGGUGGUUCUGUAUGUCUACCGUGAAAGCGUACGGCUCAACCGUAUUUUGUCGGUGGAAACUGCAGGACUUGAGGCUGGGAGGGGCUGGUGGAAUCCCCUGUGUAGCGGUGAAAUGCGUAGAGAUGGGGGAGAACACUCGUGGCGAAGGCGGCCAGCUAGACCAGUUCUGACACUGAGGCGCGACAGCGUGGGGAGCAAACAGG